CCCACCCCCUUCUCCCGAUCCCCGUCUCACUCCUUUCCCCUUCCUCCCUCGAUCUGUCGGUGUUUCAUUUGCCUUGUUUUCCCCUUCCACGUCCCCACCUCCUUCCCGGACAUGGCUAGCGAGAGCAGUCCGACGCCCGAGUCUCCGCCGCUGCCGCCGACCGUUGAGCAGGACCAGAGCUGUGGCCUGUGCGGUAAAAUGGAGAAGCUACUGCUUUGCGGGGGUUGUAAGAGGUCGUUUUACUGCAGUAAAGAGCACCAGAAAAUGGACUGGAAAAAGCACAAGCAGAUCUGCAAGGAGGCGGCGAGGCGACAGGGCCGAGCAGAGGGCGAGGACACGCGGAGCGCUUCGGCCAACAGCAACCACUACCCGCUGCCGCCUCCGAAGCCCCUGCCACCGGCCUCCGUCAACGGGCAGCCAGCGGAGAAAAGCGAGGAGGCGGCGACGACGACGGCCAAUCUCCUAUCCGGAGCCGGCAUCGACAGCCGGAGUCACUGGGGGCCGCAUGGACGAAGCGGCGGCAGCUUCCAGAAACUGGUGCAGGAGUACAUCGUGCCGUGCAUGAACAAGCACGGCAUCUGCUUGGUGGACAAUUUCCUGGGAGAGGAGAUGGGGGACAGUGUGUUGAGGGAGGUGAAGGAACUGCACCAGAGUGGCCGCUUCACCGACGGCCAGGUGGUUAACCAGAAAGGGGACUCGUCCAGGGACAUCCGGGGUGAUCAGAUCACCUGGGUGGACGGGAAGGAGUCCGGCUGCACACAAAUCGGGCUCUUGAUGAACAGCAUGGACGAUCUGAUCAGGCAUUGCAACGGCAAACUGGGCAACUAUAAUAUUAACGGCAGGACGAAAGCAAUGGUGGCAUGUUACCCAGGCAAUGGAACAGGAUAUGUUCGCCAUGUUGAUAACCCUAAUGGAGAUGGACGAUGUGUCACAUGUAUAUAUUAUCUGAAUAAAAACUGGGACGCACAGGCUCUGGCCAGUGGAGAUGAUCGUCUGCGAGGACGAAGGACCCUGAAACCUCUGUUGAACUUAUUAAUGGAUGAAACAUUAACCGUCUCAAGAAUCCAGUUGAAAUGCAACUGUAAUUACCUUUCAGAUGACAUCAACUGUGAAAGCUGCCAAUCCUGUCACUCUGCUUUUCCAGCCUGAUAGCUACCAAAGAAAAUGAGCAGUGCAGCUUGUAUCCAGGCAGGGGGAGAGAGUGCGUUUGCCAGGUGCUGUAAAGCAGCUGUUGGACUAAAGGUCUGCCAAGAGCUUUGAAGCAGUGGAAACCACAGCAAAGGGCUAUCGGAAAAGUUUAAAAGUCCCUACGCGUAAAUGCAGUGAAGCCCAAGCUUGAGCUGAGAAGUUCACAGUCAUGAUGUUUUUGAAGAAAAAUUGGAGGGUCGCUUACCAAAAGCAAAUUGGAGGAUCUCCAUGAAACUUCGAACCUCGGAGAGUAGCAGGAGCACUGAGGAGAAGUCAAAAUUAAUUCCACAGAGCUGUGGCGUACUUGGUUUGAUUCCAGAAAGAAAAGUGAAUGGAGGUCUUCUUCGAAUUUUUCCAGAAGGCAAAUUACAGUUCGCUGAUAUUGAACCAAAGUUUGACAGGCUGCUAUUUUUUUGGUCUGAUCGACGCAAUCCUCAUGAAGUACAACCUGCUUAUGCCAC